UUAGGCGUGUGACUGCGUACCUUUUGUAUAAUGGGUCAGCGACUUAUAUUCUGUAGCAAGGUUAACCGAAUAGGGGAGCCGAAGGGAAACCGAGUCUUAACUGGGCGUUAAGUUGCAGGGUAUAGACCCGAAACCCGGUGAUCUAGCCAUGGGCAGGUUGAAGGUUGGGUAACACUAACUGGAGGACCGAACCGACUAAUGUUGAAAAAUUAGCGGAUGACUUGUGGCUGGGGGUGAAAGGCCAAUCAAACCGGGAGAUAGCUGGUUCUCCCCGAAAGCUAUUUAGGUAGCGCCUCGUGAAUUCAUCUCCGGGGGUAGAGCACUGUUUCGGCAAGGGGGUCAUCCCGACUUACCAACCCGAUGCAAACUGCGAAUACCGGAGAAUGUUAUCACGGGAGACACACGGCGGGUGCUAACGUCCGUCGUGAAGAGGGAAACAACCCAGACCGCCAGCUAAGGUCCCAAAGUCAUGGUUAAGUGGGAAACGAUGUGGGAAGGCCCAGACAGCCAGGAUGUUGGCUUAGAAGCAGCCAUCAUUUAAAGAAAGCGUAAUAGCUCACUGGUCGAGUCGGCCUGCGCGGAAGAUGUAACGGGGCUAAACCAUGCACCGAAGCUGCGGCAGCGACGCUGAUGCGUUGUUGGGUAGGGGAGCGUUCUGUAAGCCUGUGAAGGUGUGCUGUGAGGCAUGCUGGAGGUAUCAGAAGUGCGAAUGCUGACAUAAGUAACGAUAAAGCGGGUGAAAAGCCCGCUCGCCGGAAGACCAAGGGUUCCUGUCCAACGUUAAUCGGGGCAGGGUGAGUCGACCCCUAAGGCGAGGCCGAAAGGCGUAGUCGAUGGGAAACAGGUUAAUAUUCCUGUACUUGGUGUUACUGCGAAGGGGGGACGGAGAAGGCUAUGUUGGCCGGGCGACGGUUGUCCCGGUUUAAGCGUGUAGGCUGGUUUUCCAGGCAAAUCCGGAAAAUCAAGGCUGAGGCGUGAUGACGAGGCACUACGGUGCUGAAGCAACAAAUGCCCUGCUUCCAGGAAAAGCCUCUAAGCAUCAGGUAACAUCAAAUCGUACCCCAAACCGACACAGGUGGUCAGGUAGAGAAUACCAAGGCGCUUGAGAGAACUCGGGUGAAGGAACUAGGCAAAAUGGUGCCGUAACUUCGGGAGAAGGCACGCUGAUAUGUAGGUGAAGUCCCUCGCGGAUGGAGCUGAAAUCAGUCGAAGAUACCAGCUGGCUGCAACUGUUUAUUAAAAACACAGCACUGUGCAAACACGAAAGUGGACGUAUACGGUGUGACGCCUGCCCGGUGC
rnacentral:rRNA from 1 species